UACGGAGGGUGCAAGCGUUACUCGGAAUCACUGGGCGUAAAGAGCGUGUAGGCGGGGAAAUAAGUCAGAAGUGAAAUCCAAUAGCUCAACUAUUGAACUGCUUUUGAAACUGUAUACCUAGAAUGUGGGAGAGGCAGAUGGAAUUUCUGGUGUAGGGGUAAAAUCCGUAGAGAUCAGAAGGAAUACCGAUUGCGAAGGCGAUCUGCUGGAACAUUAUUGACGCUGAGACGCGAAAGCGUGGGGAGCAAACAGG
rnacentral:rRNA from 1 species